UUCACGAACAGGCAAACCUGGAGCGAUCCAGGGACGCAAAGCCACGGGCCCCACGAGGGCAGCCGAGCCGUCGAA
rnacentral:ncRNA from 1 species